AUUUUAUCGCAUUUGGCUGGUGCCACACCUCCAUCAGUAACUAUAGAUAUUGCACGUGCAUUUACUUGAGGCAACGUACGAUGUGAUUGAAACGUUGGCAACGAGUUCGAAGAAGGAAAGAUGAUUUCUCGAAGAUGUGAAGAGGAAAGAAGAGAUGCGAGGCUUUUACAUAACAUCAUUGUUAAUAUAUGAUAAAUAGUUAAAAGAUUGAUUAUAAAACGAAUGUAAAAAGCACAGUAAAAUAUAACAAAUAUAGAUACAAUAUUAUUCUUAAGAAUGCAACAAGUUCAAAAUCGAAGAAGCACGGAUCCAAUACUAAACCAUGCAUUCCAUGCAUUAUGCAUGUUUCAUAAUUAAUCAUGCCACGCCCUCAACAAAAGCAUCAAGGUACAUGGCCUUAUGCACACCUUCCACGUAUGCGUGCAAACGUUCUGAAAGUUGCACC